GACGAACGCUGGCGGCGUGCCUAAUACAUGCAAGUCGAACGCACAGUUUAUACCGUAGCUUGCUUCACCAUAGACCGUGAGUUGCGAACGGGUGAGUAACGCGUAGUUAACCUGACUGGUAGCGGGGGAUAACUAUUGCAAACGCUAGCUAAUACAGCAUAAUAUUAAUUAUUGCAUGAUAAUUAAUUGAAAGGUGCAAUUGCACAUCUACCAGCUGGACCUACGUUGUAUUAGCUAGUAGGGGAGGUAACGGCCCACCUAGGCGACGAUACAUAGCAGACCUUAGAGGGUACUCUGCCACACGGGGACUAAGACCCGGCCCGGACUCCUACGGGAGGCAGCAGUAGGGAAUCUUCGGCAAUGGACGAAAGUCUGACCAGGCAACGCCGCGUGAGUGAAGGAGGUUUUCGGAUCGUAAGGCUCUGUUGUAAGUGAAGAUCUGGUGUGAUAGUGGAAAGUGCGCACUGUGACGGUAUCUUACCAGAAAGGGACGGCUAACUACGUG
rnacentral:rRNA from 1 species